UGGAAAGUUACCGCGCCUGCAGCAGCGUUUUGAGUGUGUUGGUGUUGAGUCCCGCGUGCGCCUGUGUCUCCGGGACAGGGACUCGGUCACUUUUGUGGAAAGGCCUACGUGUGCAAGGAGCAAAUACUACAGAAAUUUCCUGGAACCUUGUGGGACAUGCCCAGGAGGGUCUAUGGCUCGGCUCCAAGGUGAUGGCAAGGGCAGAGUUCACAGCUCCAAGCUCAGCUUUCCUGGACAGAGAACUCCUUGUCAUUGGUGCCAUCUGCAGGGCAUUAAGGAAUUUGCCAGGAUGUAGUUGGGAUUGCGAGGGUGGAAAUGGCAUCCAUGGAUGAAAUGCUCUACCCCCUCCCCUGAUUAAGCUUCUGAGACUGAGCGAGUCCCUAAACCACAGCCCGAAUCCUCAGAAGAGCCAGAUGACCCACGUUCCCUUUGAUCUUGUGGCACACGGCAUUUAGGGCCUGAGGCCGGCAAGCCCAGACUCCUGGUACACUUCCCUUCUGCUCUGCAAUUAAAUCUACCAGCUGUGAAAGGAGGAACCAGGCGCCUCCCAUUUUAACAGUGACCUCAGGGAGGUGAAGAAUGCCAAGCUGCGAGGCAUUUCCUCAUUCUGGUGCUUAAAAAAAUUUCAAAAAAGGUGAGUGGUUGAGUGUGGAUUGAAGGUGUUGAUGUAGUUGAAGUUAAUAAUCAUUAUUAUUUUAUUGUCCUUGUCCUGGCUAAGUAAACUUUCCUUGUGCUUUUUCUUUUAUUUAUUUGAAAGACAGAGUUUCAGAGAGAGGUAGAGACAGAGAGAGAAAGGGAAGUCUUCCAUCCGCUGCUUCACUCCCCAGCUGAGCCGAUCUGAAGCCACGAGCCAGGAGCUUCAUCCGGGUCUCCUGUGUGGGUGCAGGACUGAAGCACUUGGGCCAUCUUUACUGCUUUCUCAGACACAUUAGCAGGGAGCUGGAUUGGAGGUGGAGCAGCUGGGACUCAAACCAGUGCCUCUAUGGGAUGCUGCAGGCCGGGGCUUUAACAUGCUGUGCCACAGCACUGGCCACAUAGUCUUUCUUAUUUCCAUUUCCUUUUGUGAUUAAAUAGCUCCUGGGUAGAGCUGAGUAUCACUGUCAAGGCCCUGGGGUGCCCUACCCUUCAUUCCCCUGAGGCUUGGACACAAAUCUCAAAGCCAACAAGUCCUUCCAGAUUCCAUCACUCUCCUUGCUAGCCCUCUGGAGAAGGCAAAAAGCAAAUUUGUAGAGCAAAAUGGAGAGUAUACUCAGAGGGCUCAGGGGCCUGAACAGUGACAGAGCAAUAGGUGAGAUGUCUCUUUGCUCUCUAGGCUCUCCCCUGAGCUGCAGC
rnacentral:lncRNA from 1 species